rnacentral:rRNA from 1 species
UACGAGGGGGGCAAGCGUUGUUCGGAUUCAUUGGGCGUAAAGAGCUCGUAGGCGGCACGGUAAGUCGGGUGUGAAAUUUCGGAGCUUAACUCCGAAACUGCAUUCGAUACUGCGGUGCUUGAGGACUGGAGAGGAGACUGGAAUUCAUGGUGUAGCAGUGAAAUGCGUAGAGAUCAUGAGGAAGACCAGUGGCGAAGGCGGGUCUCUGGACAGUUCCUGACACUGAGACACGAAGGCCAGGGGAGCAAACGGG